UACGUAGGGUGCGAGCGUUAAUCGGAAUUACUGGGCGUAAAGCGUGCGCAGGCGGUUUGGUAAGACAGGCGUGAAAUCCCCGGGCUUAACCUGGGAACUGCGUUUGUGACUGCCAGGCUAGAGUACGGCAGAGGGGGGUGGAAUUCCACGUGUAGCAGUGAAAUGCGUAGAGAUGUGGAGGAACACCGAUGGCGAAGGCAGCCCCCUGGGCUAACACUGACGCUCAGGCACGAAAGCGUGGGGAGCAAACAGG
rnacentral:rRNA from 1 species